GUCAAUCUUGAUCCAAGCCUUGAAAACUAGAAAGCAAUAAAAUUCUAAACCUAGAAAACUGAAAUAUUAAGUCUGGGAACCCUGAAUAGGUAAAAAGAAGACCUAUAUAUAGUACCAGGGUAAACUACAGAGUUUGAACUCGAAAAGAACUUGAAAAACGCACAAAACGCAAAAACACGGACGAACGGCGACCCCGUGGCGGGCAGGCGGCGGUCGCCGCCUUCUUCCCACUUUUUUCUCUGGUUGCGACGGGCUCACGGCGGGCGCCGCCCGAUCGCCGGCCACGCCGAUUUCUCGGCGGUCACCGGCUGGCUCGCCGAGCGCUGCCUAAAAAUCCAUCUUCUGCCGGCGGUCGCCGGCUGCUCCGUUUCUUCCUUUUUUCGAGCUCU
rnacentral:lncRNA from 1 species